UUCUCUUUUUGUUUUAUCCAGGAAAGGUUCCCUCAGGUCGCACUGCCUUCAGACAUAGAGCCAUGGGACACAAACGGCCCAGAUUACCAGCUGGAGUUCCCCCGUACGCUCGAGUUCAUGACGUGCCCGACAUGAGAUCUGGACCACCUGGAUUUCCUAUUCCUUCUGAUGUUCAGCUCAUGUCAAAGGGAAAUCCGGAUCUGCGGCUAUGGAGCAGGAUAG